rnacentral:tRNA from 1 species
GUUUAAAUAGCAAAGAAGUUAAUGCUAUAAACUUAGGAUUUAUUAUCAAAGGUGCAAAUCCUUUUUUAAACU